rnacentral:rRNA from 1 species
GACGUAGGGCGCGAGCGUUGUCCGGAUUUAUUGGGCGUAAAGAGCUCGUAGGCGGCUUGUCGCGUCGAAUGUGAAAUCUCAGGGCUCAACUCUGACAUUGCAUUCGAUACGGGCAGGCUCGAGUUCGGUAGGGGAGAAUGGAAUUCCCGGUGUAGCGGUGAAAUGCGCAGAUAUCGGGAAGAACACCCGUGGCGAAGGCGGUUCUCUGGGACGGUACUGACGCUGAGACGCGAAAGCGUGGGGAGCGAACAGG